rnacentral:piRNA from 1 species
UUCACUGGGGCAGUCUCCGCAUAUC